UACGUAGGGUGCGAGCGUUAAUCGGAAUUACUGGGCGUAAAGGGUGCGUAGGCGGUUUGGCAAGUCUUAUGUGAAAUCUAUGGGCUCAACCCAUAGUCUGCAUGAGAAACUACCGGGCUUGAGUAUUGGAGAGGUGAGUGGAAUUUCCGGUGUAGCGGUGAAAUGCGUAGAUAUCGGAAGGAACACCUGUGGCGAAAGCGGCUCACUGGACAAUAACUGACGCUGAUGCACGAAAGCUAGGGGAGCAAACAGG
rnacentral:rRNA from 1 species